rnacentral:lncRNA from 1 species
GAGAAAAAACAGUUCCACAAUUUUGAGCCAAAUUUGAAGCAAGCUCUAAUUAAAUACUAACCAGGUUGAUGGGCUCUGGCCAGGUCCACCUCUGGGUUUCCAGGAAAUGGUCACAAGUCACCCUUUUGCAGGGCUUAAAAAGGCAAAACCCAUAAUUCAUUGCAUUUCCAAUCAGGUCCAAUCAGGGGCAAGCUUACAUCCUGACAUAUUUCCUCCCACCCACAUGUGGUCAAGCACAUUCAGUGCAGAUGAGUCAAGCAAACUUGUUUAGGUGAGUGAAAACAUGUGUUUUGUUAUUUCCCAAGAACUACAGCGCCCAGCAUUCCAUGCAGUGACCUUGCCCUUAGAUCAUGAAACGCUAAUAGUUUGCAUGGAGGGUGGGGAGUGGUGGCUCACACUGGCCAAGGAGCCGAGAAGUCCCAGCCAUGCCUGUCAGCAUAUCUGCUUUCAGAAAUGUCGGAAGACAAGGAGCUGGCCUGCUAAUCCCCAAACACAACUUGGAAGAUGCACCAAUUUGGAAACAUAAUACCACAGAGAGUCUUUGCCCACACAGCAUGUCUGGGGUCUGAUGGCCUCAACUGUCUGCUCCUCUUCACAAAGGAAGAAUUUGCUGACAUGCUUUCAUUCAGCAGUAGAGGCCCUCUUUCUAUUAAAAUCUCCAUUAGGAAUGGCUGAGCCCUGCUGCAGGGCCACUCUGGUCUUUGAUCUUCACCCCUUCCCCCAAAUCCUGUCAGGCUGGGGGAUCAUACUGGGCUCCA